AAAAUCCGCAACACACAUAGGCUGAGACGUGAUGCCGAGCCGAUUCAGGUGAAGUCAGUGAUCCUAUGCUGCCGAGAAAAGCCUCUAGCGAGUUCUUAGCGGCCCGUACCCCAAACCGACACAGGUGGUCAGGUAGAGAAUACCGAGGCGAUCGGGCGAACCGUGGUUAAGGAACUCGGCAAAUUGCCCCCGUAACUUAGGGAGAAGGGGGGCCGGAGACGUGAAGCCCCGCGCGGGUGGAGCGUUGUAUGGCCGCAGAGAGCAGGGGGAAGCGACUGUUUACUAAAAACACAGGUCCAUGCGAAGAAGUAAUUCGAUGUAUAUGGACUGACGCCUGCCCGGUGCUGGAACGUUAAGGGGACCUGUUAGCUCUUCGGGGCGAAGCGGAGAACUUAAGCGCCAGUAAACGGCGGUGGUAACUAUAACCAUCCUAAGGUAGCGAAAUUCCUUGUCGGGUAAGUUCCGACCUGCACGUAUGGCGUAACGACUUCCCCACUGUCUCAACCACAGGCCCGGCGAAAUUGCAGUACGAGUAAAGAUGCUCGUUACGCGCGGCAGGACGGAAAGACCCCGGGACCUUUACUAUAGCUUGACAUUGGUACUCGAAUUAGCUUGUGUAGGAUAGGUGGGAGCCGGUGAAGUCCAUACGCCAGUAUGGGUGGAGGCAAUCUUGAAAUACCACUCUGGUUGAUUUGGGUAUCUAACUUCGGACCGUUAUCCGGUUCAGGGACAGUGUCUGGUGGGUAGUUUAACUGGGGCGGUUGCCUCCUAAAAGGUAACGGAGGCGCCCAAAGGUUCCCUCAGCCUGGUUGGCAAUCAGGUGUUGAGUGCAAGUACACAAGGGAGCUUGACUGUGAGACUGACAGGUCGAGCAGGGACGAAAGUCGGGACUAGUGAUCCGGCACUUGCGAGUGGAAGCGGUGUCGCUCAACGGAUAAAAGGUACCCCGGGGAUAACAGGCUGAUCUUCCCCAAGAGUCCAUAUCGACGGGAUGGUUUGGCACCUCGAUGUCGGCUCGUCGCAUCCUGGGGCUGUAGCAGGUCCCAAGGGUUGGGCUGUUCGCCCAUUAAAGCGGUACGCGAGCUGGGUUUAGAACGUCGAGAGACAGUUCGGUCCCUAUCCGCCGUGCGCGUAGGAUACUUGAGAAGGGCUGUCCCUAGUACGAGAGGACCGGGACGGACGAACCUCUGGUGUGCCAGUUGUCCCGCCAGGGGCACGGCUGGUUAGCUACGUUCGGAAGGGAUAACCGCUGAAAGCAUCUAAGCGGGAAGCCUGCUUCAAGAUGAGGUAUCCCACCCACUUUGUGGGGUAAGCCCCCCAGCUAGACGACUGGGUUGAUAGGCCGGAAAUGUAAGCCCGGUAACGGGUUCAGUUGACCGGUACUAAUAGGCCGAGGACUCGAA
rnacentral:rRNA from 1 species